CCUACGGGUGGCUGCAGUAAGGAAUAUUGGUCAAUGGACGCAAGUCUGAACCAGCCAUGCCGCGUGGAGGAUGAAGGUCCUCUGGAUUGUAAACUUCUUUUAUUUGGGAAGAAACUCCCGAUUUCCAUCGGGAUUGACGGUACCAGAUGAAUAAGCACCGGCUAACUCCGUGCCAGCAGCCGCGGUAAUACGGAGUGUGCAAGCGUACUGGGGAUACAGGGGGUUUAGGGGGUUAGGUGAGGUGCAGGUGAAAUCUCCGGGCUUAACCCGGAAACUGCCAUUGAUACUAUUUGUCUUGAAUACUCUGGAGGUGAGCGGAAUAUGUCAUGUAGCGGUGAAAUGCUUAGAUAUGACAUAGAACACCCAUUGCGAAGACAGCUCACUACGGAAAUAUUGACGCUGAGGCACGAAAGCGUGGGGAUCAAACAGGAUUAGAUACCCUAGUAGUC
rnacentral:rRNA from 1 species